AUACUAACGGAUGCGAUCAUACCA
rnacentral:siRNA from 1 species